rnacentral:misc_RNA from 1 species
GAAAUGCGAUAAGUAGUGUGAAUUGCAGAAUUCAGUGAAUCAUCGAAUCUUUGAACGCACAUUGCGCCCUUUGGUAUUCCUUAGGGCAUGCCUGUUCGAGCGUCAUUUGUAACCUCAAGCUCAGCUUGGUGUUGGGUGUCUGUCCCCGCCCCGCGCGGGGACUCGCCUCAAAAACAUUGGCGGCCGGUACGUUGGCUUCGAGCGCAGCAGAAACGCGAACUCGAGGCCCGACGGAUCGGCGACCAGAAGUCACUUCUUCCACAGCUUGACCUCGGAUCAGGUAGGGAUACCCGCUGAACUUAAG